rnacentral:rRNA from 1 species
UACGUAGGGGGCAAGCGUUGUCCGGAAUCAUUGGGCGUAAAGAGCUCGUAGGCGCCUGUCGCGUCGGAUGUGAAAAUCCAAGGCUCAACCUUGGACCUGCAUUCGAUACGGGCAGGCUAGAGUUCGGUAGGGGAGACUGGAAUUCCUGGUGUAGCGGUGAAAUGCGCAGAUAUCAGGAGGAACACCGGUGGCGAAGGCGGGUCUCUGGGCCGAUACUGACGCUGAGGAGCGAAAGCGUGGGGAGCGAACGG